rnacentral:tRNA from 1 species
UGGAGUGUACCUCAGUGGUAGAGCUCUUGCCUAGAAUUCAUGAGGUCCUGGGUUCAGUCCCCAGCACUACAC